GCCGACCUAGUAGUGUGUGACGGGGCUCCUGAUGGUUUUUUUUGGACUGCUUCAUGCUGCUGAAAAUAGAUGGACCCUCAUGUAUGUAAAGCAAGUAUUCUGCUUAAGGUUCACCCCUUGCCAGACAGCUUUGUACUUUGUGUCAACCCUCCUGCCUUCUCAUCUGAGUGCCCGUCCAAUCCUAAGUUCUGUUUUUGAUUUGUUUUGUUUUGUUCUAGUUUAGCCAGCCAUCUAUUCAAAACAUUUUCUGAGCACAUAUUGUGUUGGGAAAGUGUGCAUAAAUAAAUUCCAUUGAUCUCUA
rnacentral:lncRNA from 1 species